AAGCAACACUUUGUAGCACAUAAUCCAAGUGUGUCUGACGCAAUUUGGCUUGCUAUGGCAAGAAAGUCUCACCUAUUCCAGCACUCUCCUCCAUGAGACCACCUUUAUAUAGACUUAAACAGU